ACAACAUGAUGUGGACACUUUCGUAGAAGGUUCUUCAUCCUCUCCCAAGUUUCAUGAAAUGUCUCUUCCUCUAUUUGUGAAAAUCCAGUUAUGGAUUUUUGUAUUU